CAUGGGGGAAUAUUGCACAAUGGGGGGAAAACCCUGAUGCAGCCAUGCCGCGUGUGUGAAGAAGGCCUUCGGGUUGUAAAGCACUUUUCAGUAGGGAGGAAGGUAGUGUAGUUAACACCUGCACUAUUUUGACGUUUACCUACAGAAGAAGCACCGGCUAACUCCGUGCCAGCAGCCGCGGUAAUACGGAGGGUGCGAGCGUUAAUCGGAAUUACUGGGCGUAAAAGCGCAUGCAGGCGGCCUGUUAAGUCAGAUGUGAAAGCCCGGGGCUUAACCUCGGAAUUGCAUUUUGAAACUGGCAGGCUAGAGUCUUGUAGAGGGGGGUAGAAUUUCAGGUGUAGCGGUGAAAUGCGUAGAGAUCUGAAGGAAUACCAGUGGCGAAGGCGGCCCCCCUGGACAAAGACUGACGCUCAGAUGCGAAAGCGUGGGGAGCAAACAGGAUUAGAUACCCUGGUAG
rnacentral:rRNA from 1 species